rnacentral:rRNA from 1 species
UACGUGGGGUGCAAGCGUUGUCCGGAAUCACUGGGCGUAAAGCGCACGUAGGCGGUUUGUCAAGUUGGGGGUGUAAGCUCUAGGCUUAACCUAGAAAUUGCCUCCAAAACUAGCAUACUUGAGUAUUAGAGGGGAAGCUGGAAUUCACGGUGUAGCGGUGAAAUGCGUAGAUAUCGUGGAGAACACCCGUGGCGAAGGCGGCGACCUGGACAGCUACUGACACUCAACUACGAAAGCGUGGGGAGCAAACAGG